UGUGUGGCGGAAUUGGUAGACGCGCUGGACUCAAAAUCCAGUGAUUCUUGAAUCGUGUGGGUUCGAUUCCCACCACA
rnacentral:tRNA from 1 species